UACAAAGGAGCAUAUUAUGAUAACAGAGAUGCUAGGUCUACUAUUCCCCCCCAAAAAUCUAUCACUAGCCACCAACCCACAACUGAAAACAAUCUACAGAAUCAACACGAAUAUAAUUUGAAAGUUACCAAUAACCAAUUCUGAAAAUGAUAUACCACUCCCCAUACACUGAACCUGUGCACCAGCAUUCAAUCUCCCCACAGCACCCCCGGUUUGAGCAGCCACAUGCCUCACCUAUGCCCAAGGAUCGUUGGAUCCACACCCGCGGCACACUAAAUUCAAAGAGCAAACUGCCACCAAGGAAAGCAGGAUGUGUGACAAACAGGACGAUGUCGAAUUGGAACCUAGGACUCAACACAGGAAGGCCCACUGGAGGAAAAGACGAGAAAAGCCCCGCGAAAGAGGUUAUCGCCCCCAUGCAAGGUUCAAACACCAUCAGAAAUGCAUCCAGAAACCAGACAACCAUGGGAGGAAGGCAGCAUGCAGACAACACCAGAAUGAAAUAUUUCAAGGACGAGUGGAUGAGGAAAGUCACUCCCCAUGCUUUUUCCGUCUUUGGGCAGAAAAAUAGAACAAACAACUGCCAAGAAACGCUAAACAGGAACAUCAACCGUACCAUCGUGCCACAGGGAAACACCUGGGACUUUUGGGAGGGACUGUUGGCCUUAUCGGUCAAGGAAAUCAACUAUCAUGACCAACUUUCGAGAGGUCUCGAAUGCGCGAGACCAAAAAAAAAACAAGUGGCUCCUUCAGGAUAUCAGUAUUGCAAGGUUGCAAAAAAAAUUUGUGGAUGAACGAAUAACUCUGGCGUCUUUUUUGACAUGUGCAUCCCACCGUAUUGCUAGAGUUGUAAUACCAGUCGAAGACAGGAGGGGUGACAACGCCGAGGAUGUUGAGGACGUCGAGUUAAGCAGCCUUGAUGUCGUCCCAGGCGAAAAUCAGGAACAACUAUUGGUGGUGGAAGAUGAAGGUGGAGCGAUGGAUGUUGAAGAAGAAGA